CAUCAGCCUCAAGGAGCACAAAGCGAUGCUUGAUCAAGAGAAAGAGACUCGUGUUCAAAAUCUAUUGCAGGAUGGUUGCUUCUACAGUUCUACUUGUCAACCAAACAACAUUCGGCGUCUCUCGUCCAGGGGAGGAAAAAAGAUUCACCGAGCUGCUAGGAGCUGGUCUAUAACCAAAAAGUGAAAUCUUUUUCCUAGGAGCUGCUCUCUGUUUCUAGUAAAGGGGAGGAAAAAACAAAAAGAUUCACCAGGCUGCUAACUACUUGACGUUCCGGACAUAACCCAAACAGUGUUGAAUCUAAAGUGAUCUUAUAUCAAAACUGGCAAAGUGUUUGUUUACAAGAUCAGACGUGUCAGUGACUUUAAUACGUUUACAAGAUCACCCUUUUAUUCUUUUAUUUGUUUAAUUUUGUUUUUUAAAUCUUUUAGUUUUAUUAAGA